GCCGCACGCGCGCUACACUGACGGAGCCAGCGAGCUUUUCCUUAACCGAGAGGUUUGGGUAAUCUUGUGAAACUCCGUCGUGCUGGGGAUAGAGCAUUGUAAUUAUUGCUCUUCAACGAGGAAUUCCUAGUAAGCGCAAGUCAUCAGCUUGCGUUGAUUACGUCCCUGCCCUUUGUACACACCGCCCGUCGCUAGUACCGAUUGAAUGGCUUAGUGAGGCUUCAGGAUUUGCUUAGAUCGAGGGGCAACUCUCUUUCAGAGCGGAGAAUCUAGUCAAACUUGGUCAUUUAGAGGAACUAAAAGUCGUAACAAGGUUUCCGUAGGUGAACCUGCGGAAGGAUCAUUAGAUUGAAUUAUCAUUGUUGCUCGAGUUCUAGUUUUAGAUCUUUUACAAUAAUGUGUAUCUUUAUUGAAGAUGUGCGCUUAAUUGCGCUGCUUCUUUAAAGUGUCGCAGUAAAAAUAAUCUUGCUUGAAUCUCAGUCAACGUUUACACACAUUGGAGUUUUUUACUUUAACUUAAAUCUUUCUGCUUUGAAUCGAAAGGUUCAAGGCGGGAGGCAAACAC
rnacentral:rRNA from 1 species